GACGAACCGUGCGAACGUUGUUCGGAAUCACUGGGCUUAAAGGGCGCGUAGGCGGCUCACCGAGUCCGGGGUGAAAGCCCCCAGCUUAACUGGGGAAGUGCCUCGGAUACUGGUGAGCUCGAGGGAGGUAGGGGCGGAUGGAACUUCCGGUGGAGCGGUGAAAUGCGUUGAUAUCGGAAGGAACGCCGGUGGCGAAAGCGAUCCGCUGGCCCUCUACUGACGCUGAGGCGCGAAAGCGUGGGGAGCAAACAGG
rnacentral:rRNA from 1 species